AACGUAGGACACAAGCGUUAUCCGGAUUUACUGGGCGUAAAGGGCGUUUAGGCGGGUGAUUAAGUUCGCUAUGAAAGCGCCAGGCUAAACCUGGCGAGGCUGGCGGAUACUGGUCAUCUGGAGUAAGGAAGAGGGAGGUAGAAUUCCGCGUGUAGUGGUGAAAUGCGCAGAUAUCAGGAGGAACACCUAUUGCGAAGGCAGCUCGCUGGGACGUUACUGACGCUGAGACGCGAAAGCGUGGGGAGCAAACAGG
rnacentral:rRNA from 1 species